GGGAAGUGAGGUCUUCUGUUUUCUUACCCAGGGACUUCAUUGCACCUCAGACAUGAGAUCAGUACCUGUGAGCUGUUUGCCUGCACUUUUGAUAGGGGUCCAACACAGGCACUGCUGAGAAAUCUCAGAGAUGUAUCUGAAGUGGUGAAAUCCCAUGAAAACUAAUCUGAAGUCAGUGGUCUUAUAAUGAACCUUGUAUGGCCAACUUGUGUUCUGUAAAGUGAACUAACAUGCAGACUUUGGGAAUUUACUUUUGUUCUAGCCUAGAAUAUUGUCAUGCCCAAAACAGGUAUAUAAAACCUUUUUCCAAGCAAAUUUUUAUACAAUCCUAUGAAUUUAUGUAAGUGUUUGGCUUUAAAUGGACAGUUAAAUGUGUGUUCUAACAAGGAACAGAAAUCCUAUGCAGAGGACAGAAAAGAAUAAUUAGUGAGAAAAGCUGGGUUACAUCAGAGCCAGAUUAAGUAAAAACUACUGGCAAGGGGUAGCUUAUGCUUACCUAUGGAAGGAGAUUUUGGAUGAACCGAACCAGCACCUUGAUAAGAAUGACAGCUUGGUGUAGCCCACUGGUAACCAGAAGAUAGAAAUAAUACAGCAAAAGAAGUUUAUGUUUUCCCAAAAUAAUAAACAUAUGUGGAAAAAUACUGUGUAACCCUAGACAGCAGCUUGUCUUUUUCACUCUACUGUCCAUUUAUUGUGUAGAUGUGGAAAAGCCCUUUACUAACCUUGUCUGUGAUGGGCAACAGAUAUUUUCAUCUGUCCAACAGUGCAGCAUUGUAAGAAGUAAUGCAAAUGUUAUUUGCUAUUUACUACUAAAAAGUGCAGUGAAAAAGGUAGUGCUGCAAGAUGGAGCAUCCCUGUCAGUGCUACACCUCAUUCCAAGAGGCUGUCCAUACCCAUUUCCCAUGGGUUAGGAGUGUGCUAUUGCA
rnacentral:lncRNA from 1 species